GAUGAAUAACGUAGCGAAAUGCGAUAAGUAAUGUGAAUUGCAGAAUUCAGUGAAUCAUCGAAUCUUUGAACGCACAUUGCGCCCCUUGGUAUUCCGGGGGGCAUGCCUGUUCGAGCGUCAUUUCAACCCUCAAGCUCUGCUUGGUAUUGGGCUCCGUCCUCCUCGGACGCGCCUCAAAGACCUCGGCGGUGGCGUCUUGCCUCAAGCGUAGUAGAAACACCUCGCUUUGGAGUGCAUGGCGUCGCCCGCCGGACGAAACCUUUUGUAUUUUCUCAAGGUUGACCUCGGAUCAGGUAGGGAUACCCGCUGAACUUAAGCAUAUCAAUAAGCGGAGGA
rnacentral:misc_RNA from 1 species